rnacentral:rRNA from 1 species
UACGUAGGGACCGAGCGUUGUCCGGAAUCAUUGGGCGUAAAGAGCGUGUAGGCGGCCACUUAAGUCCUGCGUGAAAUCUUGCGGCUCAACCGCAAGCGGUCGUGGGAAACUGGGUGGCUAGAGUGCGGGAGAGGAGAGUGGAAUUCCUGGUGUAGCGGUGAAAUGCGCAGAUAUCAGGAGGAACACCAAUGGCGAAGGCAGCUCGCUGGGGACGUGACUGACGCUGAGACGCGAAAGCGUGGGGAGCAAACAGG